GUUUAAAGUCAAAUGGCAGGAGGAUAGAAACCCAAGCAGGAAAGAAAUGAGGACAGAAAUGAAAGAGAGCAUAGUGGAAUGCAAAAACAGAAGACUUCAAGAUAAAGGGCAAGACCACAGUCCAAAGAAAAAGAGAUUCAUUGAUGUACCCCUGCCCAGGACCCUCAUGACUCUGAGGUCAUUCAUCCAAAGGUCAUCAAAUUCUACGUGGAGACACAAGAGAGACUGUAGACCUGGGCAGUGAAAUGAGUGCCUUCAUCAGACUCAAUACUCCAUGGAAGUUCCCAUCUUGUAAAUACCUGUCAUACCAGUAUACCUGUCAUAAUUUUAUCUGUGUUAUUCCCAGCAGGAAAAGCCUCAACCCAUUUACUAAAUGUAUCAAUGAUUAUGAGGAUGUACUUGUAACUCCCUCCCCCCUUCCAUGGUGGCAGAAGGCCAACAUAAUCUAUUUAUAAGUUUGCCCAGGGUCCAUUCACUGGCCUGGAAUGUCUACGUUCGCUUCUAUUAACAUAAUGGUCUGGGUUGUUUUCGGCACACACCAAACAAUUAUCCACAUAGUGCUUUAUGUCCUUAUAUUGGGCCACCAACACAAGCUUUUAAUUCACUUUGUAGUUGUUUCGACCCCUUGGUGUCCCUGAACAUGAAGGCAUUAGUAUAUUAUUUGAUUGUCACCUUGGGUUUAUACCACCCUUAAGUACAAGUGCAUCCUCCAUUUGUAACUUAGUUUUCUAUUUAUCUAACGUGACAGGGUAUGUUCCAUCUCAAAUUUGUUUUAGCUCAUUGUUUGUUUUUCUAAGCCUGUUUCAGAUCUUCAAUCUCAGUCUGAUUGAUGGUGACUGCAUCUACCUGUUCACUUAUGGAGGGUUGCCAUGGUUCCUUUUCUUGGGCACCUAACCUUGCCAGUUCACCUGCACAUACAUUCCCUACAGGGGUAAAAUUACAGUGCGAUGUUACUUUAAUUAUAUCUCCUCCUUGGGCUCUUUAGAUGAUGUCCUUAAGAAGAGGCACAUGCUGUAAAGGUUUACUGUCUGUUGAUACAAACUCCAACUUUCCCCAUAAGAUAAGAUAUCUUUAUUAGUCACAUGUACAUUGAAACACACAGUGAAAUGCAUCUUUUGCGUAGAGUGUUCUGGGGGCAGCCCACAAGUGUCGCCACACUUCCUGCACUAACAUAGCAUGCCCACAACUUCCUAACCCGUACGUCUUUGGAAUGUGGGAGGAAACCAGAGCACCCAGAAGAAACCCACGCAGACAUGGGGAGAACAUACAAACUCCUUACAGACAGUGGCCAGAAUUGAACCUGGGUUUCUGGUGCUGUAAUAGCAUUACGCUAACUGCUACACUACCAUGGCUAACCAUAUAUGUUACUGCUGCUAACUCAGCAUUCUGAGCACUCAUUCUCGUCGGCAGUUUCAAAGCGAGCUCCGCUAGUGAUGUACCAUGGCAGCUAUUUACAUAAAUGCCAUAUCUUGUUUUCCUGUUUCCAUCAUGCUGAACUGCUGUUUGGCCCAGCCCAUAAUUUAAAAUGAACACUUACUUGCAUUUCACAAGACGAACACUGUGAUUACAUGACAAAAAACAAAACGUCAAAAACAUUGAGCAAUGUAUUUUAACCUUCUGGAAAAAGAAAACAUUCUUGUUAGCAAAAGCAACUUUUAGGAUUGUUCCCCAAAUGUUCCAAUCUCCCAAAAUACCAAUUUCAAAUCUCCAGUUUAAGUAUACACUAAUCAUUAAUUUCCCCAAAUUCCAAACUCUCUCUGAAAUGUGGCAUCUCAUAUCCAGAAUAGAAACACUCCCAUUUCUAACAUCUUAAUCUGAAUUUCACAUGACCCAUAAGAAAUUCAGGUCUCCCUCUAAAAGCAAUUCAAAAGGUAAAGUAUUUAAAAUACAGAUAAGGCAAAACAAAACUUCAUGCUUUCACUUUUCUUUGCUUAGAACCUUUGCAAAUAACCGAAAACUUAGAAUAAACAACUAAUUUCCACAGUGAAAUGCUCAUAACACAUAGAGUCAUAGAGUCAUACAGCAGGGAAAUAGGCACUUACGCCCAACUGGUCCAUGUCAAUUUGCCUGCCUUUGGCCCAUAUCCUUCUCAACCUUUCCUCUCCCUGUUACCUUGUCCAACUGUCUUUUAAAAGUUGUUAUUGCACCUGCCUCAACCACUUCCUCUGGCAGCAGUACAUAUUUCAAAGAAUAAAGGAAAUAGAAAGAUGGAUGGGUGGGGUCCCUAUACAUUCACACAACUUCCUAAAGCAAGGUGAACCACAAAUUUCCACAUGUCAUGCAGCAUUUUAAAGCUCAUUGAUCAUUCACAUUUUAAAUAGUUCAGUAAAUGACUUAAUCCACAAGGGUUAAACAGUUAAUGAAACAAGAAUAUAAUCAUAGAAAUGUUAAGGAAACUUCAAGACUUAAAAAUGAAAGGAAUGCUGGAAAUUAUUGAUUAUACACAAGCACACAUUCAAUGUUUAAAGUGUGACAUCCCUACAUCAACCAAAACUCAACAUUUUCCAAGAUUUCUCACAUUCCAACCACUGAUCUAUGAUAGGACUCGAAUUACAAAACCUGUUUGUCAGAAUCAGAAUUGGAAUCAGAUUUAUCACAGACUUAUAUGAUGUGAAAUUUAUUGUUUUGCAGCAGCAGUACGGUGCAAAGACAUAUAAUUACCAUAAAUUACAAAAAUAAAUAAAUAGAGCAAAAAAAGGAAGUAGUGUUCAUGGGUUCAUGAACUGUUCAGAAAUCUGAUGGUGGAGGGGAAGAAGCUGCUUCUGAAUCAUUGAGUGUGGGGCUUCAGGCUCCUGUACCUCCUCCCGGAUGGUAGUAAUGAGAAGAGGGCAUGUCCUGGAUGGUGAGGGUCCUUAGUGAUGGAUGCCACCUUCUUGAGAUACUGCCUCUUGAAUAUGUCCUCAGUGGUGGGGAGGGUUGUGCCCACAAUGGCGCUGGCUGAGUCCAUAACCCUCUGCAACCUCUUGCGAACCUGCACAUUGGAGCCUCCAUACCAGGCAGUGAUGCAACCAAUCAGAAUGCUCUCCACUGUACAACUAUAGAAAUUUGCAGAAGUCUUUGGUGACAUAUCAAAUCUCCUCAAACUCCUAAUGAAGUAGAGCCAUUAGCGUGCCUUCUUUGUGAUUACGUCAAUGUGUUGGGCCCAGGAUAGGUCCUCCAAGAUGUUGACGCCCAGGAACUUGAAGCUGCUCACCCUUUCCACUGCUUACCCCUCAAUGAAGACUGAUGUGUGUUCUCCUGAAUUUCCUGCCCUGAAGUCCACCGUCAAUUCUGACCAUAAGGACCCACAUUACCACAGUUGAAAAAGUGAACUUGGGAACUGUACUGGGGUGUUUUGCCUCACCCCUCACUGCUGUUUUCCUGACAGGGUGAAGGUAUAAUCCUGUGCUGUGAUAUUUCCCUUCUGUGAUCUCCCUGUUGCCCUCUACCCCAACCUUCAUUUCUAAACACGAUGCCCUGUGUUUCUCUUCAGAGAGGAAACCUCCCAACUGCCCUUGAAGCCUUCCCCAACUUAGAACCUGACUCCUGCAUUUCCUUCUCCCACACUCGGGUCAUCUGUGCAAUACUGAAACCUCACUGUGCUCUCAUCAACAGAGUCAAAAUGAUCACAAGCCUGUUGGGAAUUUUCAUUUGAAUGUGAGAUGAAAGUAUGGGUCCAGCACUCUCUAACUCAGAUAGGCCUUGUCUACUUAGGUUUGGACCAUAAGCUCCUUCAAAAGGAAGCCAUAAGCAGUUUGCAAAAGAUGUAGGGUAUUCUCCUUUUCUCUGUCCACACAUCAAAACAUCCACUGAAUCCUCUUUAUCACCCCUGAUCACCGUCAGUUUGGCCUUCUUCAUGCCCUACAGGUCCCUUUCCCUAGUACUCUGAUGGUUGGGGAAUGCUGAAGGCAUCAACACAUUGAUGCAGAUGCAUCAGCAGGAUUUGUCAUUAAUCCCACGUAGAUCCUCUGCUAGUGACCAGCUUCAAAGAGAUCAUGGGGCUGGGCAGAGGGUUCAAAAGUUGGGAUGCUCUUCACCAAUUCAGACAACUGUGCCACCGUAAACAGUGUGCUAUAAGUUAUUCCCCUUGGCACCACCCCCAUCCCCGCCCUGAGGGAAUAUCAACCAGAAUGCAUGGAAGAGAACUAAUUGAUGUAUUGUAUUUGGAUCUCUCGAAGAUGGUCAACAAGGUGCUACAAAGUGGGGGUCAUAAUAAGGACUUGUGAUAUUGGAGAUGACAUAUCGCCAUGGACUGAGGAGUGACUAAUUAGCAGGGACAUGGGUGUUAUUUUCAGGUUGGCAACCUGUAACAAAUAAGUUAUCACAGAUCAGUGUGGUGUGAGUGUGGAACGAGCUGCCAGGGGAAGUGAUAGAUGCAGGUUCAAUUGUAACAUUUAAGAGAAGUUUGGAGAGGUACAUGGAUGGGAGGGUUUGGAGGGAUAUGGUUCAGGUGCAAGUAGAUGGAACUCGGCAGAAGAUCAGGUCAACAUGGACUAGAAGGGCUGAGGGCCUGUUUCUCUGCUGUAGUGCUCUAUGACAGUGCUGGGACUGCAGCUGUUUACAACAGAUAAUGACUUGGAGGAAGGAAGCUACUGAGUUUGCAAAUUUACAAGCACAAAAAUAGGUGACCAAGCAAGUUGUGAAGAAUUUUUCAAACAGACAUUAAAUUUUAUGUCUUGCACUGUACUGCUGCCGAAAUGCAACAAAUUUCAUGACAUAUGUCAGUGAUAAUAAACCUGAUUCUAAGAUUCUGAUUCUAAAUGUCCUGGUUUAACUACACAUUGCUCUUGGUUGGCUUCUGUUUUUACUUAAGUAUAUACUGCUGGGUGACCACAUUUCUGGCUUGUGAACUGUUCGCAUUAUGAGCAGCUCUCAGGAACAGAACCCUGUCAUAACCUGAGGAGGAUCUAUAUAAGAUACUCAUAUAGCAACUCGUCCCACUUCCCUAGGUGUCUGAUGACUGCCUGGAAUCCUGCUGACUACGCCAAAUUGUUGAACUGAGUGGACAAUGCACAUAAUGGAGUCGAUACUUAGCAGUUCAGUCUCAGAAUGAAGGCAGUUGAUUCACAUGUAUGUGGGGAAACAACUCAAUACUUUUCCACUGAGUUAGAAAUACAGUAAUUGUGUUGUUUAUAUAAAAAAUGCAGCUACUCAGCCCUGUAUGGGUGAACAACUGGCCUUUGAUAUGAUUUAGUACUAACCUCCAAAUCUGCUGCUUAAUAUUAGACCACACAAUUGCACAACCAGUACCUUUUCAUUGUAGUCAAUUGUUUUACAGCUCCUUUAUGGGUGGAUUCACAAGUGAAUGUUUUUGCUCCGGGCUAAGGUUCAAACUGUAUACAUGAUCUUUACCUUUCAAUUGAGCAUCCCAAAUCUCCAUGCUCCAUUAGCCCCUUCAGUUUCUGUUUAGAUGAGAUGACUUGUCAUCCUUCAUUCUCAAGAGCCCACCAAAUAAGUACUUCUCACAGAGAACCUGAUAGCCCCUAACCAACAAGAAGAGCAGAGGGACCACAGUGUCUACACAAGCAGGACACUUACCAUAACGGGCACCUGUGGAGAGACCCUUGACUUCUCCAUCAGAAAACACUAGCACAGGUUUCAUGAGAAUAGUUUGGAGAUUCAGGUGCUCUUUGAUCAGAAACUACACUGUAACACAAGUGAAUAGAUGACAUUAAGCUGGAAAGAAUGCGAAGAAGACUUACUAGAAUGUUGCCAGGACUUGAGGGUCUGAGUUAUAGGGAGAGGUUGGGCAGGCCAAGACUUUAUUCCUUGGAGUGUAGGAGACCGAGGGAUGAUCUUGUACACUUGUAUGAAAUCAUGAGGGCCAUAGAUCCGGUGAAUGCACGGUCUUUUUCCCAAGGAAAGGGAAUCAAAAAAUUGAAGGCAUAGGUUUAAGGUGAAAAGGGGGAGAUUUCAAAGGGACCUGAGGGGCAACUUCUUCAUGCAGAGGGUGGUGUGUAUAUGGAACGAGCUGCCAGAGGAAGUGGUUGAGGCAGGUACAAAACAUUUAAAAGACACUUGGACAGGUACAUGGAUAGGAAAGAUUUAGAGGGAUAUGGGCCAAAUGGGACUAGCUUAAAUGGGCAUCUUGUCUGGCAUGGACCAGUUGGGCCAAAGGGCCUAUUUCCAUGCUGUAUUGUUCUUUGACUCCAGUAGGAACAGUUCCACAUGCAUUAGGAGGCUGAGGUCCAACAGAAGAGCAGUAACCUAGAGAACAGAUGGUGGAUGGAAAGAUUGGAGGAGGUCCAGCAGCUCACUGAUAUACAAGGCAUGUGCAAGCUCUAAAUGGCGAAGAGUACACUCUGCUUAAGAGUUCAGUGGGGUUAAUUUGUUACUGUUGGGGAAAAGAAUAAUCCUUAGAUUAUUGUGGAAUAAUCAUAAAGAUCAUUGUCAAAUUAAAAUUUUAAUUCUAUCCACUAUUAUUUGAGAUAAAUAUUUAUUAAAUGAUAACAGAACACCAACAAUAAAGGUAGAUGGGCACAGAGAGAAAGAGAGCACAUGCUUGUGCAUCAAUCCAGUAAAUCACAGCACGUUGCUAUUCUUUAAGGUGCUUUUGUGCUUCUUCAGGAAAUUGAAGAAACCGAAACUGAAUAAUUAAAUAAAACUUGGAAUAUAAUUAAUUGACACAUUAGCAAAACCUUCACAUUCUUCUGCAAGAAGGAUUAAAAAAAGGAGUAGAACUUCACAUAGCUUAUGGACUCUUUGGAAAGAGAUGACUAUUUUAGAGAUUUGCCCCGAAAAUUAUAUCUAUAAAAUUGGUCUUAUGAACUUUGAAAAGGGAUGAAAUAUUUUCCUUAUCCUUUGGAGACUGUCACGUUGAUUUAAUAUUUUUCUUCUCCCAAAGCAAUAUUAUGGUUCUUUCUUUCUUGACAAACUCCUGUGUGCAGAUGUGGCAGGAGCUAAUCCAAAAACUAGCUCAGACUUGCAGUAAUUGUGUUAAACUAUGCUUAUAGUAAUGUCUGAAUUCAUACUGAACCACACUACUCAUUUCAAUUUAGACUGCAUAAAAUGAAAGCUAUUUCUUAACUGUGGACAAAUUAAAGCACCAUUUUAGUUGAUUUAGAAACAACUUUUGCAAGCUUGAAUUUUGAACUUUGAGCACUGGUUAAAGGAAAACAUGUUCUUGACUGCAGUAGAAAUGUUAAUAAUUAAUUGUUAGUUUAAAGUUUCUUCCAAGACUGGGUAUACAGACUUUUAAAAAAAUCAAGAGAAAGACGUCAUUGGCUCUUUAUACAAUUUAGAAUCCUUAAUCCAAAUUAGGUGUUAGGAGCUCAAAUAUUUGCUAGCUUUUAAGAAAGAUUUGAGGUUACGAUCUCACAAAUCAAUAAUAUUGGUAUCCUCAGUUAAAUAAUGACAGGGAUCUCAAUGUUCCGGGGCACCGAUGCUUCCAGAGUGACAGAGGUGGAGGUAAGAGGAGAAGGGGAGUUGCACUAUUGAUCAGGGAGAACAUCACAACAGUACUUAGAGAAGAUAUUCUGGGGGGAAAUGUUCAGCGAGACAAUGUGAGUAGAACUUUGAAAUAAAAAAGGAGUGAUCAUAUUGAUGGGAUUAUACUACAGGCCCCGCGAUAGUCAGCAGGAACUAGGGCGUAUACGUGUAGGGGAAUCACAGAUAGGUGUAGGAAUAAUAGCAUUGUAAUAGUUGGUGCUUUUAACUUCCCUAAUAUUGAUUUGGGCUGCCACAGUAUUACGGGAUUAGAUGGGACAGAAUUUGUUAAGUGUAUCCCAGAAGGUUUUCUGAAGCAAUAUGGAGACGAUCCUUUUAGAGAAUGGACUUUGCUCGACUUCCUCUUGGGAAAUGAGGCGGGCAAGUGGUUGAUGUGUCAGUGGAGGAGCAUUUUGGGACCAGUGACCAUAAUUCUAUUAGUUUCAAGAUAGUCAUGGAAAAACGUGGGAAUGGCCCUUGGGUUAAUAUCUUAAAUUGGGGGAAGGCUUACAUUGAUGGCAUCAGACAGGAACUCUCAAAAGCUGAUUGGGAGAAACUGUUUUCAGAUAAAGAGACGUUUGGCAAGUGGAGGCUUUUAAAAGUGAGGUAAGAAGAGUAAAGGGCUAGCAGGUUCUUGUUGGAGUGAAAGGCAAGGCUGGCAAGAUUAGGGAACCUUGGUUAAUGAGGGAUAUUGAGGGUUUGGUUGGACAAGAAAAAGAAGUAGGCAUACAUCAGGUAUAGGUAGUUGGGAUCAAGUGAGUCCCUUGAGGAGUAUAAUAGAUGUAGGAGUGCACUUAAGAAUGAAAUAAGGAGAGUGAAAUGAGGCUAUUAGAUAUCUCUGGCAGAUAAGGUAAAGGAGAAUCCUAAAAUAUUCUGCAGGUAUAUUAAGAGUAAAAGAGUAGGUAGGGAGAGAGUAGGUCCCCUUAAGGAUCUAUGUGUGGAACCAUAGGAAAUGGGCAAGGUCUCAAAUGAAUGCUUCUCAUCUGUAUUUGCCAUGGAGAGGGACAUGGCAGUUCAUGAGUUUAGGGGAAGAAAUAGGGAUGUUCUAGAGCGUAUCAACAUUAUGAAGGACGUGGUUUUGGAUGUCCUGGAACCAUAAAGGUGGAUAACUCCCCAGGGCCUGACUAGGUAUAUCCUAGGAUGUUGUGAGAAGCAAAGGUGGAGAUUGCUGAGGAACUAGAAGGCUGGAGGAUAGCUAAUGUUGUGCCUUUAUUUAAAAAGGGCAGCAGGGACAAACCAGGGAACUAAAGGCUGGUGAGCCUUACAUCAGUGGUAGGAAAGUUACUGGAAGGGAUUCCAAGAGACAGGAUUUAUUUCCAUUUGGAAAGUCAUAAACUGAUUAGGAAUAGUCAGCAUGGGUCUGUGUGCCGGAUGUCAUGCCCUACAAAUUGUAUUGAGUUUUCUGAAGAGGCGAUUGAGAGGACUGAUGAGGGCUGGGUGGUAGACGUUAUCUUCAUGGACUUUGGCAAGGUCUUUGAUGAGGUCCUGCAUGGUAGACUAGUCCAGAAGGUGAGACCACGUGGGAUCCAGGGUGAGCUAGUCAAUUGGAUACCAAAUUUGCUUGGUGGUAGGAGGCACAGAGUAGUACUGGAGGGUUGUUAUUCAGAUGACACCAAGAUUGGUGGGAUAGUAGACAGUGAGGAAAGAUUUUUUUAGGGUUACAACAGGAUACUAAUCAACUGGGAAAGUGGGCAAAGAAAUGGCAGAUGGAACUUAACUCAAACAGGGAUGAAAUUAUGCAUUUUGGGAAGUUAUAUCAGGGUAGGACAUACACAGUGAAUUGCAGGGCCUUGGGGACUGUGGUUGAAAAGAGAGACGUAGGGGUACAAAUACAUUGUUCCCUCAAAGUGGCAACAAAGUUAGGCAGGGUGGUGAAGGCAGUGUAUGGCGUGCUUGCCUUCAUCAGUCAAAGCAUUGCACACAAGAGUUACAGUUGUACAAACGUUGCUUAGGCCGCACUUGCAGUACUGUGUGCAGUUCUGGUCACCGCACUACAGGAAAGAUAUGACAAAGCUGGAAAGGGUGCAGAAGUGAUUCACCAGGGUGUUACCUGAACUGAAGGGCUUGAGUUAUAAGGAGUGAUUGAAUCUGGUCUGUUUUCCUGGAGCAAAAAGGAAGCUGAGAAGCGAUAUGCAAAAUUAUGAGGCAUAUUUGGGGUAGAUAGCCGGAGUAUGUUUCCCAUGGUAGGAAUGUCUAAAACUAGAAGGUGUAGGUUUAAAGUGAGAUGAAGGAGGUUUAAAGGGGAUCUGAGGGGUAAGUUUUUCACACAAAGUGUGAAACCUGGAAUGAGCAAUCAAAGAAGGUGGUGGAGGCAGGAAAGGUAACAUUUAAGAUGCUCCUGAACAGGUACUUGGAUGAACAAGGCACGGAAGGAUAUGGAAUUUAUGCAGGCAAAUGGAACUAGUAUAGAAAGGCAUGAUGGUUGGCAUAGAUGCAGUGGGCCAAAAGGGCCUGUUUCAAUGAUCUACUACUCCAUGACUUUAUGAUCUCAUUUAAAAGAAAAUGUACACAUACAGAAAUGAACACUUCCAACAACACACUCAGAAGGAUUAAGAGCUUUCAGCUGUCAGAAAUGGCUGUUGCUGAACAUAAACAGAAGACAUUUUUUUAAAAUAUUGUUUUACACUAGGAAUGCCUUGGCAAACAAUCAAACUCUCACACAAAUUUAAUAACAUGGAUUUAUCUUACUACAUCAUUAACUUUAGUGCUGGGUGUCAUUUUAAGUAUGAUUGGUGUAUCUUGGCUCUCCACAUUCUGAUAAGGUACUCCCUCCUAUGUUAUGAUUGGCCACAACCUCUAUGUACCUAGUUGGAGUCACUUUUAUUGCUGCUACCGUUGUUGGCCAAACAACCAACACCAGCAUGAGCUUUAAAAUCAUGCAAUUAUUAAAGAAUGGUUUGCCUCUCAUUAGGGUUGCUGAUGGCUUCUUCAAGAUCCCACUUGUGCAAGUGAGAGAGAGAUUCACCUGCACCUCCCUUAAUAUCAUCUACUGCAGUCAGUGCUCCAAGUGUGGCCUCCUCUACAUUGGUGACACCAAACACAGACUAGGUGACUGUUUCGCAGAACACCUGUGCCCUGUCUGUAACUGCGACCUGCAUCUUCCCAUUGCCAGUCACUUCAACUCCCCCUCCCACACUAUCACAGAUACAUCAGUCCUCGGCCUCCUCCACUGCCAGGAGAAUUUCAAGCGCAAACUGAAGGAACAGGACCUCAUUUUCCAUUUUGGAACCUUGCAGCCUUAUGGCAUGAAUAUUGA